rnacentral:rRNA from 1 species
GGAACCUGGUUGAUCCUGCCAGUAGUCAUAUGCUUGUUUCAAGGACUAAGCCAUGCAUGCCUCAGAAUAACUGCUAUGCAGGAGUCUGCGCAUGGCUCAUUACAUCAGACGCAAUCUGCCGCAAAAAUGUUGCGGAAACGCAUUAUUGGAUACCUUGUGCGAAACGCCAAGCUAAUACAUGAACUAAUGGGAUC